AUUAUCAUGUUGGCUUGAUUUUAUUAUUGAGUGUUUCUACUUCGUGGGUUUGAGUCGAUUUGAGUCCUCCACCCACUGUCCGUCUGUGUUCGAAUGCCCGUCGCUUCGCUGUCCUUCAGUGACAUCCAGUCGGAUACCUGCUAAAAGCACUCCGACGCUCAAGUCAAUGUUCAGUUUUAGAAGUUAGUGAUAGAGAGAGAGUGAAGUAAAUGUGCAUUAAAUGUAUCUGCCUACUUCUUACCUUUGACUUUUAUUUAUAGUUUUUUCCAUGGGCCAAUGAUUAGUGGAACCUUAAUCAAGGCCCAAUUACAAGCCUGUUGAGGCUAAUCUGGUUUUACCUUAAUCUCGUGUUGUUUGUGAGACUUUCGUUGUACUUCGCCGGCCGGACAUCUGACGGUCGUCCUUGUGGUGUAACAAGAAAAGAUCUGACGGCCAUGUGAAGUUCCGGUUUCUUUCGGGCUGGUUUGCGCCCGGCCAUGACUAUUGACAAAUCAUGCAGACAUCACAGCAGAAUGUGGUUCGUCACCUAGGUUAUACACGUUUCGCGAAGACAGGGCGAAGUUGACCACGGCCGUCAGAUGCCCGGUUUGGUUAUUAGUUCAAAUAGACACCCUUGAACUGUCUCGUGCCCGGUUGUGUCUACCAGUCAUGCGUCAGUGGUAAGAUGGAAUUCUUCAAGGUUUCAGGUUAUUCUGGCCGUCGAGCUCAAACUGUAGUGCGGCCGGCUGGCCUGGAGGUCCGGCCGGCUAUAUAGGGUACACAAGCCCCCCAAGCCCGAGGCGUCGCUAGGGGCCGAAGGGUUUGAAAGGAGGGUAUGUCGCUCGGAUGAGCAGCGGGACCGUGUGUGAAGGCAGAGGUUGGUUUUAGGCGGGAAAAUACACGUGGCAAGAUCGUGGGUGGGAGACGAAGCGUCGUAUGAAUCUGGAGCGUUGAACGUGGUUAGGAUGAACGGCGGAGAUUGGAAACGGUUUUUGAAAAAUUUUUCUAUAAAUAGGGGUGGGGUGAAUGCUACGGCUACAUCCUUCCUUCUUCCUUCCGAGCUUUAUUCUUUUCAUCUGCCCAGGUAAUAAAAUGGUGGUUGUGUGCGUUGAGUCUUCUCUGGAAUCGUCGGGCCGUGGCGGGGGCGCGGGUGAGGGCGGCGGCAGCAGUGGUUCGGUAUCGACGGGUUCGUCUGGCUCCACCAGUGGUUCGGUAUCGACGGGUUCGUCUGGCUCCACCAGUGGUUCAUCGUCGGAAGACCGGACAGUGGAGGAGGAUUCGGCCGUCCCAUCCGCUCUAGCGGAGGCGGUGACCGUAGCUCAGGGGUCUGCCGCUCCGGUUACAAGUGGGCGGAUAUUCCAUGGAUCCCCC
rnacentral:lncRNA from 1 species